rnacentral:lncRNA from 1 species
CCUGCCUGCGGCAGCCAUGUCAUCUGGGGCUCAACCCAAAGCCCCUGCAUGGGGAGGGGUCCUGGAAUAGCCAUGUGACCAUGGAUCUCGGCCUCCUCUUCCCUGCUCCCCUGCACAGAUGGCCUGGAAGCCCCACCUCCUCCCCAGGGUGCUCUGACAUCAGAAGGGCUGUGACGGGAAGGCCACACCUCCACAGGACCUGCAGGUGCCUGCCUGGGACCUGGCUCUCAGUGGGCACCCAGCCCCCUCCUGGCAUUGCCAGGGGAGUCCUGGGUAUCUGACCCGUCUCUUUGUCCAGGAAGUGACCACUGGGAAGGCCGUGCACCCCGCUCCAAGUCAGGACUCGGGUGUAAGCUGGUCCUAGCCUCCCGGCCUCCCUGCCCCCACCCCCAGCAUCGCAGUAAGCCUGGCAGGUUGGUCAUACUCAGAAACCACCCAGAGGGGCUGGGCGUGGCACACACCUGGAGUCCCAGCACUUUGGGAAACCCAGAUGGAAAGAUCACUUGAGCCCAGGAGUUCAAGACCAGCCUGGGCAAUAUCGUGAGACCUCAUCUCUACGAAAAAUACAAAAAUUAGCUGAGUGUGGUGGUGUACUACUCAGGAGGCUGAUGUGGGAGGCUCAUUUGAGCCCCGGGGCUUCAGGCUGCAGUGAGCUGUGAUUGCGCCACUACAUUCCAGCCUGGGUGACAAUGAGACCGCAUCUCAAAAAUAAUAAUAAUAAUGCAGCCAUGGGGGCCCGUUUUGUGCCCUGGACAAGGCACACAGUGGUGUUGCUCCAGCCCCCUCGCCACUUUCAGGGCCACACCUGCCCCAGGGCAGUGGGAGGCGCAGGUAUCAGGGAAAUGUGGAUGUGGAAAUGGACAGGUCAGGGGUUGGGGCAACUAUGGGGCUGCCCACGCUGACCCCUUAAGGCUGGGCCCUGUGUCCAACACGCCAGCUGAGGUGGCCCACGGGGGACCCAGACCUGGUUCUGCCCUCGAGGGCUCUGGGAUUGGAGAGGGCAGCUGGGCAGAGAGUCCCACAAGUUCUCAAAAAACAGAAGAGGCUUCCCAGGGCCCAUGAGAAGCCAGCACAGUCAGGGAGGGCUUCCAGGAGGCG